rnacentral:lncRNA from 1 species
GGGGCAAAAACCGCCCAGCCUCGCGGGACUAGGCCUGGGCAGCCUUCUGGCGGCGCACGGCGCAUCGGGGUUUACAGCAGUAUAACUUGCUUCCCAGUAGCGCAUCACAGGAGAGACCCUUCCUUUAGGAAACCAAGCCUCGCCAAGGGUCGUCAUCUCUAUGGCCUCCUCCCUUCCCGGUGACUUGGUCGGAGCUGACAGAGACGGGAGGGGGGUUGCAAAGCGGGCGUGCGAAAGGGCCGCGACUGCCCCCAGCGGUGUGGGGUGGAACUACACUUAGGGCCCCAGACUGUGAGCCUGAGGAUCCGUGUGCGCAGUCGUCUCAGAGUUUUCAGAGUACAAGUCUCUUCCUCCUUAGGUUUCUCACAUUGAUGCUUUCAACAUGGGAAGAAAAGUUACUGAAAGCCCUGCACAUGGAGCACUCGGGAGCAUUGUCACCAGGAUGACCCAAGAAUCUUCAGUUUUCAGAAGUCAAAGAAUGGACAUGUUGCCACCAGAGCCCUUUACCAAGUGAGAAGUCCUUCAAUGAAGAGAACCUGGCUUCCAGCAGCUGGAGCAGCUUAUAUUGAGUGAUUCAAGACUAGCCAGUCAGCUUUCGAGGUUAAAAUUCCCCUAACUCCUUAAAUUUCACCCAGAACCCUGGCUGCAGGAGACAGGUUUGCAAGUCUUGCUGCCUGUCUUUUUGUCAGUCGACCUCACAAUCUACUCUUUCUUUUCUCAAAAGCUAAUGCUCUGUUUCUCAUCUUCUUUGCCUUUUGAGUAGCCUAGUUUCUUACUCAGUAAUAAUUAUUGCAAAACAGGGAAGGGAAAGGAGAGGGAAAAAGAAGGAGGGGGAAGGGAGGGGGCCUGGGGCCUGAAAUUUUCCAAGCUGUCUCUCUGUGGCUCUGUUGUGUGAGAGAAACCUUAGUCUAAAGAACACUCAUUGCCACCUCCCAAAGGAAAAGGGGGUCAGAAUGCUGUCUGC